GAUGAACGCUGGCGGCGUGCCUAAUACAUGCAAGUCGAGCGAACGGACGAGAAGCUUGCUUCUCUGAUGUUAGCGGCGGACGGGUGAGUAACACGUGGAUAACCUACCUAUAAGACUGGGAUAACUUCGGGAAACCGGUGCUAAUACCGGAUGAUAUUUUGAACCGCAUGGUUCAAAAGUGAAAGACGGUCUUGCUGUCACUUAUAGAUGGAUCCGCGCUGCAUUAGCUAGUUGGUAAGGUAACGGCUUACCAAGGCAACGAUGCAUAGCCGACCUGAGAGGGUGAUCGGCCACACUGGAACUGAGACACGGUCCAGACUCCUACGGGAGGCAGCAGUAGGGAAUCUUCCGCAAUGGGCGAAAGCCUGACGGAGCAACGCCGCGUGAGUGAUGAAGGUCUUCGGAUCGUAAAACUCUGUUAUUAGGGAAGAACAUAUGUGUAAGUAACUGUGCACAUCUUGACGGUACCUAAUCAGAAAGCCACGGCUAACUACGUG
rnacentral:rRNA from 1 species